rnacentral:rRNA from 1 species
AUUGAACGCUGGCGGAAUGCUUUACACAUGCAAGUCGAACGGCAGCACGGGGCAACCUGGUGGCGAGUGGCGAACGGGUGAGUAAUACAUCGGAACGUGCCCAAUCGUGGGGGGAUAACGUAGCGAAAGUUACGCUAAUACCGCAUACGAUCUACGGAUGAAAGCGGGGGAUCGCAAGACCUCGCGCGAGUGGAGCGGCCGAUGUCAGAUUAGGUAGUUGGUGGGGUAAAGGCUCACCAAGCCAACGAUCUGUAGCUGGUCUGAGAGGACGACCAGCCACACUGGAACUGAGACACGGUCCAGACUCCUACGGGAGGCAGCAGUGGGGAAUUUUGGACAAUGGGCGCAAGCCUGAUCCAGCCAUUCCGCGUGCAGGAUGAAGGCCUUCGGGUUGUAAACUGCUUUUGUACGGAACGAAACGGCGAGCUCUAAUACAGUUUGCUAAUGACGGUACCGUAAGAAUAAGCACCGGCUAACUACGUGCCAGCAGCCGCGGUAAA